UACGGGGGGGGCAAGCGUUGUUCGGAAUUACUGGGCGUAAAGGGCUCGUAGGCGGCCAACUAAGUCGGAUGUGAAAUCCCCAGGCUCAACCUGGGAACUGCAUCCGAUACUGGAUGGCUUGAAUCCGGGAGAGGAUGCAGAAUUCCAGGUGUAGCGGUGAAAUGCGUAGAUAUCUGGAGGAAUACCGGUGGCGAAGGCGGCAUCCUGGACCGGCAUUGACGCUGAGGAGCGAAAGCUAGGGGAGCAAACGGG
rnacentral:rRNA from 1 species